CUGGCCGGAAUAAUUCAUGAAGAAGGGGCUGGAUCCGUGGGUCAGAGAACACAGGACCAGUUUGCCAUCCCAAGGCCGAAGUCUGGUGUCUCGGAUUUGACCCUGCGUUGCCCACUCCUGCUGGAUCUUGUCCAGUCGAGGGACAAAACGUCCUGACACCUUCCUGAAGAAUGGGAAGAAAGGAGAUUCUGGAAGCACAGAUUGCAAUACCAUGCUAGAGGCCGAGGAGACCGACGCGAAGGGAUUGCUCC
rnacentral:lncRNA from 1 species